CAGUAGCCGCGGGAAUACGGAGGAUCCAAGCGUUAUCCGGAAUCAUUGGGUUUAAAGGGUCCGUAGGCGGUCUUGUAAGUCAGUGGUGAAAGCCCAUCGCUCAACGGUGGAACGGCCAUUGAUACUGCAGGACUUGAAUUAUUGGGAAGUAACUAGAAUAUGUAGUGUAGCGGUGAAAUGCUUAGAGAUUACAUGGAAUACCAAUUGCGAAGGCAGGUUACUACCAAUUGAUUGACGCUGAUGGACGAAAGCGUGGGUAGCGAACAGGAUUAGAUACCCGUGUAGUCCCUGUCUCUUAUCA
rnacentral:rRNA from 1 species